GUUUAUUAUGUCUGUGACAGAUGUUGAAUGAUCUGAUCAGUAGCUAAGUGAAGAAGUCGUUUUUUGACUGUAGAACAGUAACACCUUGGUUUACAGCAAGAUGAUAUAGUAUUUGUUUGUUUUGGAGAGCGGGAAGGAGAGAGAAAGAGGGAGUAGAGUAGAGAGCGAAAGAGAGGGAAUGAGAGGGUGUGUUUGAGAGGUAAGGGUGACAGAAAGAAACUUGACUGUGAGGAGAGUCAGAGAGGGAGAAAGAAAGAGCGAGUGAGUGAGAGAGAGAGGAGGAAGUCUAACUGAAACUGAAACAUGUCAGCUGUUGGGUAAGUGAGACUGAAGAAGAAAAAUAGGUAAUAGAGAAAAGGUGUGAGAGACAGAGAGAGAGAGCGAGUCAGGGUCAGGGUGUAUGCAUGCCAGCGGGAUGGAGAGACCCUCCUGUCUCUCACGGAGCAGCAAGAUGAACAGCUACAUCACCAACGCCCUCUCUGACUUCUUCUUCAAGUAUGAGACCCCCCGCCAGGUGCUGGUGCGGAACAGGAGAGUGGGGGUUGUGUGCCGAUUGAUUCAGCUGGGGGUCCUGGCUUACAUCAUCGGUUGGGUGUUUAUCUAUGAGAAAGGCUACCAGUCGACAGACACGGCCGUGAGUUCUGUCUUUACUAAAAUGAAAGGGGUGGGCUACACCAACGUGGAUGGAGAGGAGAGGGUCUGGGACAUGGUCGACUACGUCUUCCCUGAACAGGGAGACUCAUCUUUUGUGGUGAUGACCAACUACAUUAUAACCAAAGGUCAGAAGAUGGGAAAAUGUCCUGAGCUCACAGAACCCAGGUAUCUCUGCAACUCCGACUCAGACUGUGAAAGAGGGAUAAUAGAACGUACGGGACAUGGACAUAUGACGGGGAAGUGUGUGGGGAACACAACCAAGACGUGUGAGGUUGUAGCCUGGUGCCCUGUGGAAGAUGACCACACAAUCCCAGAUCCCGCACUUUUGAUGUCGGCAGAGAACUACACACUGUUCAUCAAAAACUCUGUCACCUUUCCAGCAUAUGGUGUUAAGAGGAGUAACCUUGUAGAAGGUAUCGACAAUCAGUACAUCAAGAGUUGUGUGUAUGACCCGACAACGUCCCCACUGUGUCCCAUUUUCAGACUGAGUGACUUGGUACAGCUGUCUGGCUUCAACUUCGCCACCAUAGCCAAAGUGGGCGGGGCGAUUGGUAUCGUCAUUGACUGGACCUGUAACCUGGACUAUGACCAGUCAGAGUGUAAACCGGUCUACACCUUCCACGGUCUCUAUGGAAAUCCCAAUGAGACAGACAUGGCUAGAGCGUCUGUUGGAUACAACUUCCGGUAUGCAAAGUAUUAUAUGGAGGACAAACAGGAAAAAAGAACACUUCUGAAAGUGUUUGGGAUUCGAUUUGACAUCAUUGUUCGUUCAGUGGCCAGAAAAUUUGAUAUCAUCCCAACACUAACAGCUAUAGGGUCUGGCGUUGGAAUCUUUGGAGUGGCGACUGUAGUAUGCGAUCUGAUCCUUCUGUAUCUACUACCAAAGAGGGAGUUCUACAACAACAUGAAAUUCAAGGUCACAGAAACAGUAGAGCAGUGCGACAACCUGAGGCUGGGUAUAAACACGUUCAUCUAUUACAUCCCCGACGUCUAUGCAGGACCACAAGUCUCAGCCAAUAUAAUCCUACAACAUAAAGAACCUUUAGAUGAGUUCUCGUCAGAAAAAUAAGUAUCCAAGAAACAUUCAGAUGAGGUGCUAGUGCAUCAGUGACUUACUGCAAUCAAUCUGAGGAGUGAUCCUAAAAAGGGCAGAUUCAUGACUCUUGGGCUCCAGACAGCAGAAACAGGGGGAUCCGGCUCCAACUCUGGAGAACACAGACUCCAGGCUGUACUGCCAUGCAAAGGACACUUGGACAGGAAAAUACAGUCACAAACAACAUUCUUCUCUCUUCAGCUCAAUUAUUCAACUGCUAAUUAUUUAUACCUUCAAAUCUUGGCAACAGACCUCAAAUGAUGCUAUCUGUUUAGGAGAUAAACCGAGAUAAAUACAGGAUAUUAUUCUUUCAGAGACAGAAGCAGCCGCCCUCCUUUGUUCACCUCAUAAUAAGAAUAAGAAUACCCUAACCCUAAAAGUACUGUUCUCUCAACAUUGCAGAAUUAGCACGGAGUAUUAGUUGAGUGUUGGUUCAUUACCUCAACGCUCCAUGGUUUAUAACACAUUUUUAGCACCCCUUCUACUUUAUGGGAGAACCACGGAUUUCCAACUUGAUAUGACCAUUAUAAACACAGUUCCAUAACAUGUUUAUAACACGGUUAUAACAGCCCACCACCCAUUUCCAACCUCUUCCAUCGGCACAGAGCCCUCAAUGUUGUCUUCGAGAGACGACACUAGAAUGACUACUGGUGGGUUACUCCACUUUGAAAGACACAGAAAUAAUUAUGUAUUUUAGGUUAAAUCUUUCUCAUUUACAGUUUGCGAUUGCCAUGUGAAUUCAAUAAACCAUGUUCUGAGUUUAGGUUUUAUCCUUGUAUACCCUUUUACAGGUUACUUACAAAAUACAAAAUUAUUCAAAAAUGA